AACCGUGUCCUCUUCUUCGUCCCCAGGUUCUCUUCGGUGCGCAGUCCCCCCGCCCGCCAUCCCCGGAGCCCCCCCGGCCUCCCCGUUCUCCUUGGGGCCCCCCCCCGGACCUGGGCCGCCUCCUGCGUUCCCUCAGCGCCCCGAGCGGCCGCCCGGUGCCCCCCCCGCCCGGUUUCCCCCCCCGGCACCACGGAGCCCCCCCGGGCUUGAACCGCCCGGCCGGGGGGGCCAGCCUGGAGCUGCUGCUGGCGGCCUUGACCUUGACCUCGGACCUGGAGCCCGCGGGGGGGGCUCUGCCCCCGUUAUCGGCACCGCCGUCCCCGUUGGCGUCACCGCUGACCCCCGGGGGACCCUCGCCGCCGCUCUCACUUCACCGCCUGCCUUCCUCCUCCUCCUCCUCCUCCUCGCCACCGACACCGCUGCUCGCCCCCCCGGAGGCUUCCCUGUCGCCCCCCGCUUCGCCGCCGUCACCGCUCUACAAGACGGAGCUGUGCCGCCCCUUCUCCGCCACCGGCCGCUGCCGUUACGGCUCCCGCUGCCAAUUCGCCCACGGCCCCGGGGAGCUGCGGGGGCUCCGGCGCCACCCCAAGUACCGCACGCAGCCCUGCAGCACCUUCCUGCGCUGCGGCUCCUGCCCCUACGGCCCCCGCUGCCACUUCCUCCACGGACCCCCGGCCCCGCUGCUGCUGCCCGAUGGGGGGGGGACGGCCGCUGGGCCCCCCCCCGGCAGCCCCCGCCGCCUCCCGGUGUUCGACCGCAUCUCGGUGGCGGAGUGAAACCCCCUAUGAAAAGGGGGGGGGCGCCCCCACCCCCUGCUCUUUUAUGGGGGGGCGCCCCCACCCCAUGAUUUUCUAUGGGGGGGGUGGCACCGCUAUGAAGCCCCCCCCCUGCACCCUUUGUGCCUCUCAGGUGAAGGGGGAGCCCCCUUUUCAGCCCCCCCUCGAUUUAUGGCUUUAUUUAUUUAUAGUCGGUGCCUUGGGGCUGCCCCCAGCCCUGUUGGGGGGUUUUGGGGUAUUUAUGGGAUUUGUAUUUUUUUUGGGGGGAGGGGGGCGGGGGGAGUUUUUUAGGGUAUUUAUGGGGUUUUUAGGGUUUUUUGUGUGUAGGGGGGGUGGUAAAUAA
rnacentral:lncRNA from 1 species